UGUAGUGUGGCUCACUGGUAGAGCUCUUGCCUUGCAUGCACAAGGCCCUGGGUUCAAUUCCCAGCACCAAGAAACAA